GACGAACGCUGGCGGCGUGCUUAACACAUGCAAGUCGAACGGAAAGGCCCUGCUUUUGUGGGGUGCUCGAGUGGCGAACGGGUGAGUAACACGUGAGUAACCUGCCCUGGACUGUGGAACAACUUCAGGAAACUGGGGCUAAUACCGGAUAGGAGCUCCUGCUGCAUGGGGGGGGUUGGAAAGUUUCGGCGGAGGGGGAUGGACUCGCGGCUUAUCAGCUUGUGGGUGGGGUAGUGGCUUACCAAGGCUUUGGCGGGUAGCCGGCCUGGGAGGGUGGCCGGCCACCUUGGGCCUGCGGUACGGCCCAGAGUCCUACGGUGGGCAGCAGUGGGGAAUAUUGCACAAUGGGCGGACGCCUGAUGCAGCGACGCCGCGUGCGGGAUGACGGCCUUGGGGUUGUAAACCGCUUUCGGUUGUGACGAAGCUUGAGUGACGGUAAUGGGUAAAUAAGCACCGGCUAACUACGUG
rnacentral:rRNA from 1 species